GCCAGGCGUGGUGGCGCGCGCCUGUAAUCCCAGCUACUCAGGAGGCUGAGGCAGGGGAAUCGUUUGAACCCAGGAGGCAGAGGUUGCAGUGAGCUGAGAUCUUGCCACUACACUCCAGCCUGGGCUACAGAGCAAGACUCCGUCUCAA
rfam:Gorilla gorilla gorilla genomic chromosome, chr2A, whole genome shotgun sequence